UACGUAGGGUCCGAGCGUUGUCCGGAAUUAUUGGGCGUAAAGGGCUCGUAGGCGGUUCGUCACGUCGGGAGUGAAAACUCGGGGCUUAACCCCGAGCCUGCUUCCGAUACGGGCAGACUAUAGGUAGGCAGGGGAGAGCGGAACUCCUGGUGUAGCGGUGGAAUGCGCAGAUAUCAGGAAGAACACCGGUGGCGAAGGCGGCUCUCUGGGCCUUACCUGACGCUGAGGAGCGAAAGCGUGGGUAGCGAACAGG
rnacentral:rRNA from 1 species